GAGUACACUGGCGCACGGGUGAGUAACGCGUGAGUAACCUGCCUAUGUGUCUGGGAUAACAUGCUGAAAAGUGUGCUAAUACUGGAUAUAUUGCUUACUGCAUGGUGAGUAAGGAAAGGCGGAGCAAUCUGCUGCACAUAGAUGGACUCGCGUCUGAUUAGCUAGUUGGUGGGGUAAAGGCCUACCAAGGCUACGAUCAGUAGCCGGCCUGAGAGGGUGGCCGGCCACACUGGGACUGAGACACGGCCCAGACUCCUACGGGAGGCAGCAGUGGGGAAUAUUGGACAAUGGGCGCAAGCCUGAUCCAGCCAUGCCGCGUGUGUGAAGAAGGCCUUAGGGUUGUAAAGACUUUCAGUGGGGAGGAAGGGUGUUGUGUUAAUAUCACAGCAUUUUGACGUUACCCACAGAAGAAGCACCGGCUAACUCCGUGCCAGCAGCCGCGGUAAUACGGAGGGGGCGAGCGUUGUUCGGAGUUACUGGGCGUAAAGCGCACGUAGGCGGUGCGGUAAGUCAGGGGUUAAAGGCUGCAGCUCAACUGCAGUAAGGCCUUUGAUACUAUCGUGCUAUAGUGUCAGAGAGGAUGGCGGAAUUCCCGGUGUAGCGGUGAAAUGCUUAGAUAUCGGGAGGAACACCAGUAGCGAAGGCGGCCAUCUGGCUGGUAACUGACGCUGAGGUGCGAGAGCGUGGGGGAGCAAACAGGAUUAGAUACCCUGCUAGUCCACGCUGUAAACGAUGGACGUUAGGUGUUGGGGGAACCGACCCCCUCAGUGCCGAAACUAACGCGUUAAACGUCCCGCCUGG
rnacentral:rRNA from 1 species